rnacentral:rRNA from 1 species
AGCAGUAGCCACGGGAAAACGGAGGGUGCAAGCGUUAUCCGGAUUUAUUGGGUUUAAAGGGUCCGUAGGCGGAUCUGUAAGUCAGUGGUGAAAUCUCACAGCUUAACUGUGAAACUGCCAUUGAUACUGCAGGUCUUGAGUAAAUUUGAAGUGGCUGGAAUAAGUAGUGUAGCGGUGAAAUGCAUAGAUAUUACUUAGAACACCAAUUGCGAAGGCAGGUCACUAAGAUUUAACUGACGCUGAUGGACGAAAGCGUGGGGAGCGAACAGGAUUAGAUACCCCCGUAGUCCCUGUCUCUUAUAA